rnacentral:rRNA from 1 species
UACGUAGGGGCGAGCGUUGUCCGGAUUUAUUGGGCGUAAAGAGCGCGUAGGCGGCUUGGCAAGUCGGGUGUGAAAUCUCUGGGCUUAACUCAGAGAGGCCACUCGAUACUGCUAUGGCUAGAGUCCGGUAGGGGCCCGUGGAACUUCCGGUGGAGCGGUGAAAUGCGUUGAUAUCGGAAGGAACGCCGGUGGCGAAGCGACGGGCUGGAUCUCUACUGACGCUGAGGCGCGAAAGCCAGGGAGCAAACGGG